UGACGAGUGGCGGACGGGUGAGUAAUGUCUGGGAAACUGCCUGAUGGAGGGGGAUAACUACUGGAAACGGUGGCUAAUACCGCAUAACGUCGCAAGACCAAAGAGGGGGACCUUCGGGCCUCUUGCCAUCAGAUGUGCCCAGAUGGGAUUAGCUWGUUGGUGAGGUAACGGCUCACCAAGGCGACGAUCCCUAGCUGGUCUGAGAGGAUGACCAGCCACACUGGAACUGAGACACGGUCCAGACUCCUACGGGAGGCAGCAGUGGGGAAUAUUGCACAAUGGGCGCAAGCCUGAUGCAGCCAUGCCGCGUGUAUGAAGAAGGCCUUCGGGUUGUAAAGUACUUUCAGCGGGGAGGAAGGUGUUGUGGUUAAUAACCGCAGCAAUUGACGUUACCCGCAGAAGAAGCACCGGCUAACUCCGUGCCAGCAGCCGCGGUAAUACGGAGGGUGCAAGCGUUAAUCGGAAUUACUGGGCGUAAAGCGCACGCAGGCGGUCUGUCAAGUCGGAUGUGAAAUCCCCGGGCUCAACCUGGGAACUGCAUUCGAAACUGGCAGGCUUGAGUCUUGUAGAGGGGGGUAGAAUUCCAGGUGUAGCGGUGAAAUGCGUAGAGAUCUGGAGGAAUACCGGUGGCGAAGGCGGCCCCCUGGACAAAGACUGACGCUCAGGUGCGAAAGCGUGGGGAGCAAACAGGAUUAGAUACCCUGGUAGUCCACGCCGUAAACGAUGUCUACUUGGAGGUUGUGCCCUUGAGGCGUGGCUUCCGGAGCUAACGCGUUAAGUAGACCGCCUGGGGAGUACGGCCGCAAGGUUAAAACUCAAAUGAAUUGACGGGGGCCCGCACAAGCGGUGGAGCAUGUGGUUUAAUUCGAUGCAACGCGAAGAACCUUACCUGGUCUUGACAUCCACAGAAGAAUCCAGAGAUGGAUUUGUGCCUUCGGGAACUGUGAGACAGGUGCUGCAUGGCUGUCGUCAGCUCGUGUUGUGAAAUGUUGGGUUAAGUCCCGCAACGAGCGCAACCCUUAUCCUUUGUUGCCAGCGGUCCGGCCGGGAACUCAAAGGAGACUGCCAGUGAUAAACUGGAGGAAGGUGGGGAUGACGUCAAGUCAUCAUGGCCCUUACGACCAGGGCUACACACGUGCUACAAUGGCGCAUACAAAGAGAAGCGACCUCGCGAGAGCAAGCGGACCUCAUAAAGUGCGUCGUAGUCCGGAUUGGAGUCUGCAACUCGACUCCAUGAAGUCGGAAUCGCUAGUAAUCGUGGAUCAGAAUGCCACGGUGAAUACGUUCCCGGGCCUUGUACACACCGCCCGUCACACCAUGGGAGUGGGUUGCAAAAGAAGUAGGUAGCUUAACCUUCGGGAGGGCGCUUACCACUUUGUGAUUCAUGACUGGGGUGAAGUCGUAACAAGGUAACCGUAGGGGAACCUGCGGUUGGAUCACCUCCUUACCUUAAAGAA
rnacentral:rRNA from 1 species